rnacentral:lncRNA from 1 species
CUUGUAUAAUUCAUGCAGAUGUCUUUAGAAUACGUUCUCUCUUCAGAACAAUGGUUUUCUGCUACCAUCAUUUAGUAUCCAAAUUGUCAAUAUGUUAAAGAUUUUGUAGAAUUCAUAGAUGCAAAUCAACAAUGUUCUUUGAUGUGUAGUAAUUUUUAUGGAUUUAUAUAUGGAGUUAUUUUCAAAGGAGAAGAAAAAUAAUUUACUAGUAAGUUGGUACACGAAUUUAUAAUGAGACUUGUACAUUGUGGCAAAAAUAAUGAACUUUGAGUAUGAUUAGAUGACCAUCUUGCUAGCUUUGGCAUGCAAGAAUUUUGCCUCAUUACUGGACCACCUUGCCAUGAACCAUCCACAGAAAUUGAUUAUAAUAACGAUCGUCUUAGAAAUCAAUACUUCAAUGACCCAAAAAAAAUUAGCAAUGGAAUGAUUUUUAAAGCUUUCCAUGUGUGUGAAGAUGAAGAAGAUAAAUUUAAGCUGUGAUUAGUUAUGUUGGUUGAGUAUGUGUUGAAAUCGACUUCAAGACAAAUUGAUUAUAGAACUACGUGCAUGAUUGAACAUAUUGAUGAGUUCCUUACGUAUCCAUGGGGCCAGAUAGUAUAUUUCAUUUUGUUAAAUUCAUUGAAAGAGUCACAAUUGAAAAGAAUACUAAGAAUGCAACAGAACCAACAAACAGAAUGUAAGUAUGUAUUACAAGGCUAUCCACUCGCAUUUCAGGUAUUCUGUUCCUAUUCUAAUUACUUAUGUAUUAUGUAUAAUUUCUUUAUACAAAGAAUAAAUUAUAUUCAUCCCAUUUCUCUUUCAUUACGUUGUAGUAUUGAAUAUAUGAAGCGUUUCCACAGAUUGGACAAAAGUUUGGUCGUCGUAAAUUCAAAACGGUGCAGAUUCCACGAAUCUAUAAUUGGAGGCCUAAUACUAUACUAAAGAAAUCGAUUGUUAAGGAAUUUUUGGAUACUAAAGAUGUAUGAAUUUUUUUAUUUUCAAUGUAAAAUGACAUUCACAUUUAAUUAUUAACAAGUUCAAUUAAACAAAUGGAUUCUGAUAGUUUGUUAUGAUUACAGAUCGAAGUCAUUACAGCGCUGCAGCCUACGGAAGAAGAAUUACAAACACCCUGGUACAUAAGUCUUUCACUGCCAGCUGACAAUGAAUAUAGUAUAUUAGAUAUCAUUGUCAAUGGAGAAGUAGAUAAUGUAGUACAAUCAAUACCGGAUAACAUCCGUGUGCAAGAAACGACCAGUUGUGUUACAUCGAGAACUUCAACUGGAGUUGGGCCUAGUUCUACUUCUGGUGCCUUCAGAUAUAUAACUGAAGACCGAAUGGGUAUGUACAGGUAGCAUACGAUAUCAGAUAUGUCAAGUCUAUGUGGAAACUUGAAAGCAGAAUUUGUUGAAAAAUCAAGAGCACUAAACCAUGCUAUCCUUGAAAGCCAAAAGCAAUUGUUCGAACAACAUAACAAAUUGUUGCAAGAUUACAUGCAAUCAUACAUGGAUAAUUCUCUAUCAAAUAUGUUUAACACUCAUAUUGUCCAGGAAUUGUAACAACAAAAAGCCCAUUAGCAGGCAAUUCUCCAAAAGCAAGGAGAAUUAUUCCAACAGCAAUAAGAG